UUUCAGAUGCGGAUGGAUCGACCUCCCGGCAGAGCGCCCCGUCCCAGAUGAGGCGAUCCCCCCGAGAAGGAAGUAAAGCCGGAUAGCAGCAGCGAAGGCGAAGCAUUGUGAAGGCUGCCUCCUGAUGUUGUGCUGAGGCCCCCUCACUGACAUGCCAAGAGACCCGGUUUGCUUCUCCGGUGAGCCCCAGCAAACGUUACCGGAGUCCGUGACGAAGCCUCGACCUCGUCCACCUGAAGGUGUGGUCCGGGUAGCCUUUAGCCACGGCCGAGGAGUCGCGGCGUGCCCCGCGACGACGGCGUCCGCCUCGUAGCGUGGCCGAAGCGUGCGGCCCGAGGACCCGGGCGUUCCUAAGAGACGGUGAUGAUACUUGUCUGAGACAACAGCCCGGCGAGAGAAGAACUUCCCAGAUGGCGAGGUGGCUUCGUUUGGCCCCCGACCGGCCUCUCGCCGUGACUCACGUCUUCAGCCACCCGAGAGAUAAGCGGAGCCCGCAGAGGGGAUCAAAGCAGGGCGGCGGAUGCGGAUGGAUCGACCUCCCGGCAGAGCGCCUCGUCCCAGAUGAGGGGAUCCCCCCGAGAAGGAAGUAAAGCCGGAUAGCAGCAGUGAAGGUGAAGCAUUGUGAAGGUGGUCUACUUGCAAGAUAUCCCAGCCCAGGAUGCCAGAGGACAGGUUCCGUGCAGAGAGGCAGAGCCGAAGUUUGCGAUCGGCCGCACCGAAG